ensembl:misc_RNA
UUUCUGGGGACGUGUUGGGGACAGGUGUCCUCGACAGGUUUCCGAGGGGUCCAGUCGCCAGAGAGUGUCGCCCCUGCCUGACGCCCUGGUU